CAGGACUCGAAAGACUCCCGUAACCCCUGUGAACAUACCUAUAUUCGUUGCCUCGGCGGGUGCUCCGGUUCGUCCGGGGCGCUGCGCCCGCCGGCGGCCCGUUACUCUGUCUCAUGCGUUGGCAUCUCCGAGUACAUACAAAUAAGUUA
rnacentral:misc_RNA from 1 species